UUUUUUUUUUUUUUUUUUUUACACCACUUGAAUUGGACAUCUUAAUGCGUUCAUAUGGCGACUUCGAACACGUUUUUAGAAAGAAGUGCAACACCUGCAGCUGCAAAAGAGAGGGAGACGGCGUGGGAGAACAUUGCUGCCCGGGUCAAUGCGUGCAAUCCUGCGGGGGAGAAGCGCAUGUGGCAGCAGCUGAAGAUGAAAUAUAAGAACAUUGUUCAAACAGCCAACAGAAAGAAAGGAGAUGCCUGUAAAAAGGGAGGUGGCCCAGCACCACCACCUGUAACGGAGGCAGAGGAGCUGGUCCUAAGCCAGAAUUUGGGAAGGCCAGUGGUUGAGGGAAUCCCUGGAGGGAGCUCAUCCUCUGAGACCACAUCCCAAGACACAAGUGUGUGCGUGUGUGUGUGCGUGUGUGUGUGUGUGUUCAUGCGUUCAUGCGCCCACUGAACAUUUGCCAUAAGGAAGCACAGAGCACUGCAUUGUUUCUGCGUACGAGCGAGUGUGUGUGCAGCCACAGCGAUGGCAUGCGUGAAGGGGUGUGCUUUAAAGAUAGUGAGUUUAAUUAAAGAUGAAAGG
ensembl:lncRNA